UGACGUUGCGUUUUCAAACGCCAAAGGGUUCUCAGCUGACGUCUGCUUCUGCUGCAACUGCUGCGGUAGACUGCCAACAGGAAGAUGUAACAUCUUUGACGAUCUCACAGCAUCACUGCCAGGGAAAGACUGCGAUGAUAACAUAGGCGACAUCAUACUUCUAAUCUGCGCUGACAAGUUCUCAGCACUGGAUACUCUCUGCGACGCUGCAAGGAAGACCUCAGGCUGCAACACUGGAGGUCCCAAAGGACUGGAACCAUCUACUUCAUCACCAGGCGCCCCAACAUCUGUUGAAGGCUCAAAUUUUUCAAUCACAUGUGAAAAUUUUUAUAAGUCAGAUAUUUCACAAUUCAACAGAUAUAUGAAGUCAUAAAUUCAAUAUAUACACAUGAUUAUACACAA